UGGGAGGACCCCCGCCGUUGUGCGGACGACUCCCGGCGCCUGUGUCCCUUCAAUUUUUGGCUAACGUGCCAUACAUGUUUGACGAGUGCUUGCGUGCUACUACCAGUUUUUUGGAAGUUGCAUUCGCUAAAUGUUGCCUACGUCGUGCCCAUCCAAAGGACGUGGCAUGUCGACUGAAAAGCAAUCACGGCGUUGCCUCAUGUAGCCAGCCUAGCCUGGCAUCAUCAAGGCCACCUUGUGUUUGCUCUUGGUCUUGGAUGUUGCAAGCGAUACAGGCCGAAUGCGCUUUGGCGUAACGUGCCUACCAAGGACUGUCCGAACGGAAACAACGACAGUUGGCCUGGCUGAAGCCUUGUGCGGAUGCUAGUGUC
rnacentral:misc_RNA from 1 species